AGAUGAGGCUGGAUCUAGUAAUGUCAGAGAUGGUGGUGUAGAUGAGGCUGGGUCUAGUCAUGCUAUGGAUGGUGGUGUAGAUGAGGCUGGGUCUAGUCAGGUUAUAGAUGGUGGUGUAGAUGAGGCUGGGUCUAGUCAGGUUAUAUAUGGUGGUGUAGAUGAGGCUGGGCCUAGUCAGGUUAUAUAUGGUGGUGUAGAUGAGGCUGGGCCUAGUCAGGUUAUAGAUGGUGGUGUAGAUGAGGCUGGGUCUAGUCAGGUUAUAGAUGGUGGUGUAGAUGAGGCUGGGUUGGGGCCCAGAGAGGAAGGGCAGGAUGGGAGAUGGAGAUGAGGAGGAAAGUGCAUCUGAGGAAGAGGAUGAUGAUUUUUCUUUCAGACUCCUCUU
ensembl:lncRNA